CUCAACUUGACUUACUUGCUGCCAUACUCUUUGAUUUAGAUGUCCUGACAACACUUUUUUGAUUUUCCUAAAAUGUGUAAGUCACAUGAAACUGAUCUGGACUAUAGGAUGGUAGGAUUAAUGCCUUAUUUCUUAAUCUGGUGUUAAUUUGUAAUGUACUCUUUUAAAGUGACCUGUACUCAGUGAUUACACCAAUAGUAUCUAGACACUAGGAAAGUUCUCUUUUUGUUAUGAAACUAUUUUUUUUAUGGGUUUCCCCACCUUGGUAAAUUGUUGGUCUUACUACACUUCAAGUAUCAUUCAUUAGUAGCCUUCUUGAAAGCCUUUGCUUCACUCCUUUUCCCCUAUACUGCCCUCUCCUCCACAGCAUAUUUUCCAUUAGCCGAUGAAUUUCAGUAUAUCUUACAACCUUCAUGUUUAAAAAGGGCUCAGCACAUUAUCCCUGCUUUCAGAAACAUUGCAUUUGUAAAAACUUUCAAUAUCUUCACUGCUUAUAUAUUAUCAUAUUGUUUGAAACCUUUUUCUGCGUAUCAUGUUUAUUAUCGCAGAGUCUGAUAACUUUUUUUUCUGAUUUUACAGACUCUUUUCUACUGUCAAGAGACUCUUUUGAUCAUGAAGCUACAGCUCUGAUGAAGGCACAGUUCAUGAGUUUGUGGAAUGGUCUUAUUAUUGAUCCAGACUGUCAAGUUGUAGUAAUGGGGGCAACUAAUAGCCCACAAGAUGUAGACAAGGCAAUUCUGCAGAGAAUGCCUGCUAUGUUUCACAUUGGAUUCCCAUAUUCAGAAGAUGUUGAUAUAAAAGAGAUUGGAAAAAUCACUGAGGGAUUUUCUGGAAGUGAUCUGAAAAAACUGCCGAAAUGCUGCUUUGUACAGAGUACAUGACUACUGCAAUGAAGAAACAAGAGUCUUAUGGACAGAAAAUCAACAGUCAGAAAGUCCAAAUAAGUCUCAAAUGCCGAUUAAGAAGGAGAUAUCUGAAUCUUCAUUUCCAAUACAAUAUGAUGAAGAUAAGAAAGAACUGGACAGAAAAGCUCCUGUCAAACGAGAAAUUUCUGAUUCGGGAUCUGAAGGUCCAAAGGAAGAAAAUAUUGCACAGGUUCGGAAAUCUACCAUUUUAUAUUGUAUUUAUCCACUAGCAAUAUGUAUAAAACUUCAUUUGCUUGAAAAAAUAUGCUGAUGGUAAUAAAAAUCUAAGUGUUUUGAGUGCUUAAAAACAGGUGCUCAUUCUCAAGACUCCAUGAUGUGAGUGAGGAAUAUAUUCAUGCCUCAUUCACAUCUGGCGAGUCUUGAGAAUGGGCGCAUAUUUUCAAGCUUCAAAACAUGUUGACUCUGAAUUUUUUUUUUUUUUUGCAAAUGAAAUUUUAUAUCAUCAAUAUGUCAAAUGGAAAUCUUGCCAUUUUAAAGUUUAAGAUAUUUUUUGCAUAAUCAUCUAUAAUUUACUCAGUUAAAUCAUCUUGAUAAUCCAUCCUGCUUUAUCCAUAUUUUAAAUAUCUCCAAUACGUGAUUUAAAAUCAUUGCUUGGUUCUUAAAAUCUUUUUAAUUGUAUUCAUUCAUAAUAAAAAUAGCAUUGGUAUUUAUUCAUCAUUUUGAUUUAUAAUUCAAAUAGUAUUGGUAUUCAUUCAUCGCUCUCCUGGAUCAAAUUGCCCCCAUAGAUAGCACCCAGGGGUGGUGGUCGGUAAAACUACAUUUUCUUUGUAGUUAACUUCAGUAGCUAACUCUGUAGUUCUACUUUAUUACAAUUGUUGCUAACUAUAACUACUUUUUUUUGAAAAAUGUAGCAACUACAAACUACAGAAAUGCGUUCACUACUCUGCUACUUUUAGAAGACAAACUUAACUGGAGAACUUAAUUUUCGACGAUAGUCAAAAUGGUGUUGAAUAAAAAAUUGGCUAGGUUAAAUAUAUGCGUUCACUACUCUGCUACUUUUAGAAGACAAACCUAACUGGAGAACUUAAUUUUCACCGAUAGUCAAAAUGGUGUUGAAUAAAAAAUUGGCUAGGUUAAAUAUAAGGAGAUAUUAAGAAGUUUUAAUUCAUGUUUACAUGAAAUAGUUGUUUUAAUUUUAAAACACUUUUUAUGAAUUUGUUCUUUUAACUUUCAAAAUCUAUGCUUUUCUGCUCAGUGAUUUAGGAAAUAAUCAAAUAUUUGUGAUUUAAGUGAUCAAUGCUUUUUUAUAUCUUCAAAGAAAUAAAGUGCAAACUUUCUGGGGUACGAAAAACAAAAAGUACGAAAGACAAAAAAGUACGAAAAACAAAAAAGCUGACUACGCCAAAUAACUUUCUAUCUAAUGAUCGGAUCUUCACAUUCUAGGACUUAAUCUUAAUAAGAUACAAAAGCGUACUUUAUAGUUCCUGUGAAAUCGAAUUAUGGCAGCUAUUAAAAAGUUGAUGGGUCUCAGUUGAGGUUUCGUUUUUUUUUUAACAAAUGUAUAUUUUAAUUCGUUUUCACAGUACUUUGAUAAUUUUAGGUUAUUUAAAUCAUCAUAAUUUUCAACAGAGUCGGAAACUGCAGCCAUAGACAAUUAGAAAAGACUUGGACAAGUGUUAAUGCCAUUAGGAUAUAAUUUUAAAUUUCGGAGCUCAGUCGGUUCAAUCAUUUUUGCCAAAUAUCUUGCACUGCAUUGAACGUGUUCUUUUAAACGAUGCAAGUGAAAUAUAGGUCGAAUCAUAUCAUCCAUAGAAUGGGGAAUGCUUAAAUAUCUUAAUUUGAUGUUCUUGCCGUAACCGUAACCUAAAAGAUUUUUAAAAAGUGUGUGUUGAAAUAUUCCACCCACAAAAAUAACGGCAUUACUGGGAAUGCAUUCUAAAUAUGAUUCUCUUCCUGUUAUAAUAUUCGGUGCUGUGAAAUAGGCCAUUUCUUUCGUCAAAAUGUUGAAUAAUGCAUAUUCGAAUCUAUCAAACUCAUGAUCCAGUAUUGUAUAAUUGUCGUGAAUAGAAAUAAACAUGAGUUUAAAUUUAUUCUGAUCGUAAAAACUUUUUACUAUGUAUCCAGUAAAAAUCAUGACUGCAAUGCAGUAGGCAAUACUUGUAGGUAAAUGAAAUGACAAAGACGAUACCAUCCAGGUGGCGUUAAAUGUUCCAAUUCUCACAUCCAGGUGGCGUUAAAUGUUUUGGUUCUCCCAUCCAGGUGGCGUUACAAGUGUAUAUAAAGGAAACAUUGUCAUGAUUUCUAUGAUAUCCAUAAUUUAUUUCAUCCAAUGGAGACUGUGUGCUUACUGUGUCGAGAAUUGAACGACAAUUACAGUGUGAGUUGGAAAUGUUGCCCAUUCAAAGUCCAUUUUAAAUGCUUCUAUGUUUGGAUAAUUAUAUAUGACGGAUUGUGUCCACAUUGCUGUAAAGAUUCUAGCGAAAUGUUGAUGCAGAGGGAGGAGAAUGCAAAAGUAACAGGAAUACCUACCAAUGUCUUCAAAUUUAUUAAAUAUGAUAUUAUGGCAUAUCAGAAAUUAUUAUUUUUUCAAAACGAUGAAUUAAUCUCUCAAAAAGAAGGUUUUUACUCUCCCUUGUUGAAAUUUGUACAAUGGGCUCUAACGUUUAAAGAACUCAACUUUUCCUCCAUGUAGUUUGAUGAAUGAAUUUUGAGGUUUUUCGCAUUAGAGGAAAUGGAUUGAGAUUCUAUAGUGGUAAUGGAUUGAGCAGAGUGUAAGUUUUCUUUGGACAAUUUCUCGAUAGAUAUUGCUGCAAAUUUGGUUGUUAAAAAUUUUCUCCCAAUUGUUGUAAACUGUUUAUUUUUUUUACAUAUGUAUAUUUCAUUGAUGCAAAAUUUAUGGGAAAAUCUAUAGAAUGUAAUUUUUAAAUAUAAUA